UUUAACUCACUACUGGUUAAACCCCUCUAUCCAAAUUCCAAAGUGAUCUCUCAGUUCUUAUUUCCCAAAUUUUCUCUCUCCUAAAAUAAAUAAAGUUCAGGGUUUGCUCAUCUUUUUUUGGAUUUUUACUUUUUUUAUUGGAAUGCGGAUCAUCACUGAAGGGAGCUAGCUCAGAGGUCUAACACUGAAUACAAAGUAUGAUGCAAUUUCUUCACUUUUCUUUAUAUUUACAGAUGUAUGAGUUUAAUUUGUAUGUUUUUUUUUGGUAAUUGUUUGUUCUUAUGGAUAUUUUCUUAUGAAAUUUUAGCCUUUUUGUUGUCAAUGAAAUUGACUGUUAUUUUUUAUUAUGAAGAAACUGAAUUUGAUUUAUUCUUUAUAGUGAUUAGUAUAUUUGCAUGCAUUUUUCAUUUAUUUGAAACUUAAUUAAUUUAUUUUUUCGGUUUUUUUUAUUUUAAUAAGAGCUUAUGAAACUGAUAGCGUUACUUUCAUUAUUAAGAAUUAUAUUUUGUUUUUAAUUUAUAUUUCAGCUAUUAAUUGCAUUUGCCUUGGUGAAUAAUUUUGUAAGAAAAUAUAAUUUUAGCUUUUUGUAGCUUAUAAAAUUGAUAGUGAUAUUUUUUUAUGAUCAAGUAGGAUAUUUUAUCUUGGUGUUAGUAUCAUAUAACCAGAAUUGCUACUACUUUCAUAAUUUUACUUUUAAAAAUGUUUUGUUGCCUGACUUGAUUUGUAAUUUUAGAAUACCAAUUGUGUUUGAAGGGAUUUAGUUGAUAAUGUUGGGAGGAUAUGCAUAUCACAGAGUAAUUAUGGCGAUAUUGUUAUUUUGGACAAAAUUACCUAUUGUUGUACAUUCAAUUUACCUGUAAGGAUUUUGAAGUAUUAGUUCAGAUAGUUUUAUGAAUUAGAACUACGUCUGCUGAAGGAGAUUAUGAACUUAUGCCUCAGUAUGUGGUGGACUAGGAAGCGAUGACUUUUUUGGGGAUUUUGAAGUAUUCGUGUUUGUAGCAUCAUGAAGCUUAAGCUAUUUGUCCGAUGUUUGUUGUUUUUCUCUUGCAGUAUAUAUUUUGUUGAAUAUUUUUAUCAUAUAUACACAAUUAAACACACGUACACUGAUGCCGGACAGAAAAGCUAUUAUCCUGCGGACUAGGUAAGUAAACAAAUAAAUUCACAGGCAAAGAAACAAGAUGUUCACCAAAAACACAGGGAAAUCUUCCCUAAUACUUUAAUUUAUAUUUAUCAAAAUCAAAGUUAUCCUCUGACUCAACCCACAAGCCGAGUUUUAUAGCUAACAAAAUUUUCUUUCAAGUAAUAACAAAAUUCCUAAAAAUAUGGAAAUAAAAUCUUAAUAAGUAACAACUUCCUAUUACCUAAUAAUAUAAAAGAUUUACUUCUUAAAUAAAAGCUACUACCAUAAAAGAAGGUAUUUCUGAACUUCAGAAACUGAAGGGGGUGGACUGCCAUCUGAAUCCCGAAGUCAUCAUCCGAUUCCUGAAGAUGUCAAUGACCGCCAUGACCGCCACAUGUACGCCGAUCCUCCAAUGCAUGGUAUUGUAAUGCCAUUAACGUGUUAUCUGAUAGUUUGGCGUCAUCGGACUCGAAUCCUCCUGCAUUAGUCACCCCAAGUUGGAAAGAACUCUUCCUCGAGUUCACGGUAUCAUCAUCCGAACCAGGGCUUAAAGGCUUCACAUUGAAGACGUCUGAAGUCCGUAAAUGGUUAGGGAGACGCAACCAAUAGGCAUUAUCAUUAAUCUUCUGCAGAUCUCAUAGGGCCCAAUCUUCCGAUCCUUGAGCUUGUUAUAUUCGCCAGUAGGAAAGCGAUCACGAGUCAACACUGCCCAAACAAAAUCACCAACGUCAAAAAGUACCUGACGCCGGUGACUGUCAACCCUACCCUUAUAGGUGUUAUUGAUGUCGAGAAUAGAUCGUCGAACUUGUUUAUGAAUAUCCCGAAGAUGUUCGGCCAUUUCACUCGCCUUCGGAUGCAGACGUCCGACUCGCGGAAUAGGAAUUAAGUCAAGCACCCCAAAUGGAUUAUGACCGUAGACAACCUCAAAAGGACUCAUCCCUGUCGUUCGGUUCUUAGAUCUAUUAUAAGUAAACUUGGCUUGAGAUAGAGCAACAUCCCAUUGCUUCCGCUUAGAACCAGUCAGGCACCUUAGAAGAUUUCCCAAACUUUUGUUCACCACUUCGGUUUGACCAUCAGGUUGAGGGUGGUAUGCGGCUAUGCGCUGCUGAAAUUUAGUUGUGUUCCCAUUUUUUCCCACAAACUCUUCCAGAAAUGACUCAUGAAUUUAGUAUCUCGAUCAGAAGUGACCGACUUCGAGACACCAUAUAGACAUACAAUUUUCCGAAAGUAAAGAUGAGCGAUCCGUUGGGCGUCCAUUAUUUUUUGAUAAGCGACAAAAUGAGCCAUCUUUGAAAACCGAUCACAACUAAGAUAGAAUUCGUAGCGCGUUGUGUUCGAGGUAGGCCCAAUACGAAAUCCAUACUGACAUCUACCCAUGGAGCUUCAGGAACAGGUAAGGGAGUAUACAGUCCGGCAUUAGUGAGAAUUCCCUUGAACCUUUGACAUACAUAACAUCACUGCACGUAGUGAUAUCACGUCCGAAGUGACCCUAGCCGUGGAGUUCACUUAUUAUCUUCUGCCGAAGUGAGAAAUCCGGAAUGCAUAGGUGUAAUCCCCGAAACAGAUACCCAUUAUGAAACACAAAGUCGUGCCGCCAACCUUCAUGUAUUUCCUGAACUAUCUUUCCGAAAGAGGGAUCAUUUUUUGUACAUAUUAGCAAAGACUUCAAACCCUACAACCUUGUUACGCAUAGUGCUAAGGAGUGACGCUCUUCGGCUUAACGCGUCGGCAACGCAAUUUAAACUUCCUGCCUGAUGACGCAAAGUGAAUGUGAAUUCCUGUAAGUAUACCACCCAUUUAGCAUGCCUUCGAUUCAACUUAUGUUGGUCAUUAAUGUACUUCAGUGCCUCAUAAUCAGUAAUGAGGAUGAAUUCCCCCUGUACAAGGUAGUGUCGCCAGUGUUUUAGAGACUGAACGAUGGUGUAGAACUCCAAGUCAUAAGUAGUUCUUCUUUGACCCUGAUAACUUCUCACUGAAGAAAGCUAUUGGCCGACCUUCUUGUUUGAGAACACCACCGAUUCCAACUCCCGAUGCGUCGCAAUUUACCUCAAAGACCUUCUCAAAGUCAGGAAGUGCUAAUACUGGUGCUUCAGUCAUUUUGUUCUUGAUGAGCUGAAAGUUGUCCUCGGCAUCCUUGGACCAUUGGAAUAACUUUUCCUUAAGCACUCAAUGACUAGUGUAAUUAAGGUGCUAAAGUUCUUGACGAAAUGACUGUAAAAAGAUGCCAACCCAUGAAAACUUCUGAAUGUAUAGUCUUCGGCGUAGGCCAUUCCAAGAUUGCAUCGAUCUUGGGUUGAUCGGUGUGAACACCCUCGGUAGAAACAAAGAAACCAAGGAAAGUUACCGAAGCUGUGAAAUAAGAACUCUUCUUAUAAUUGAUAAAAAGAUGUUCUUGCCUCAAUGCUUCUAAGACAGCCCGUAGGUGCUCAUGGUGUGCCUCCCAGUUCGGACUGUGGAUCAGAAUAGGGAUAAAUAUUUUUUUUGUCACUGUACUUUAGGCCAACUUACAAAUGAGUCACUAAAUUUUUUUUUCUUACAGUCAACUCAUUGAAUUUUAGUUUUCUUACAAACCGUUACAAAAACCGUUAAGUCCUGUUGACUUUAACGGUUUGACCAAUAUAAUGCUGAGUUGUAAAAAAACGCUGAUGUGGCAAUAAUAAUCCAACGUGGAAUAUAAUAAUAAUAAUAAUUCUGAUAAUAAUAAUAAUAAUAGUUACGAUAUUAAUAAUAAUAACAAUUUCGAUAAUAAUAAUAAUUCCGAUAAUAAUAAUAAUUAUGAAAAUAAUUUCGAUAAUAAUAAUAAUAAUACAGAUAAUAAUAAUAUUUAUAAUUUUUAUGGUUUAUAAUUUUCUUAAUUAUAUUUUCUAAUAAUUACAUAAAAAUUCAUUUGAUAUUAAUUAUAAAAGUAAUUAAAUAUAUUUUUUCAUUUAUAAUAAUAAUAAUAUCGAUAAUAAUAAUAAUAAUACCGAUAAUAAUAAUAAUAUCGAUAAUAAUAAUAAUAACACCGAUAAUAAUAAUAAUAACACCGAUAAUAAUAAUAAUAAUAAUAAUAAUAAUAAUAAUAAUAAUACAGAUAAUAAUAAUAUUUAUAAUUUUUAUGGUUUAUAAUUUCCUUAAUUAUAUUUUCAAAUAGCUACAUAAAAAAUCAUUUGAUAUUAAUUAUAAAAAUAAUUAAAUAAAUUUUUUCAUUUAUAAUAAUAAAAACAUCGAUAAUAAUAAUAAUAAUACAGAUAAUAAUAAUAUUUAUAAUUUCUAUGGUCUAUAAUUUCUUUAAUUAUAUUUUAAUAAUUACAUAAAAACUCAUUUGAUAUUAAUUAUAAAAAUAAUUAAAUAUAUAUUUUUCAUUUAUGUUAUUGUAUUUUAUAUUUUUUUUACUAAGUUUUUUUUAUAUUUUAUUUUAAAUGAUUUUCUUUCGUUUUCUCCAUAAAAUUGGUCCAUUUCCACACAAGCGUUGAAACUCAUGCAUAAAAAUUCCAUGUCAGCUUUCUCUCUCCCAUGUGUCAAAUUCCGUUAAAAGUCAAAGGACUUGACGAUUUUUGUAACGGUUUGUAAGAAAACUAAAGUUAAUUGAGUUGACUGUAAGAAAAAAAAAGUUUAGUAACUCAUUUGUAAGUUGGACUAAAGUACAGUGACCAAAAAAACAUUUAUUCCGAUCAGAAUAUCAUCGAAGUAGACUACUACACAUUUCCCCAUGAAAGGUCGCAAUACCUGGUACAUGAAUCUCAUAAAUGUACUAGGAGCAUUAGAGAGACCGAAAAGAGUAACCAUCCAUUCGUAUAAACCAUCUUGAGUUUUGAAUGCCGUCUUCCAUUCAUAUCUGGGUUUUACCCUUAUUUGAUGGUAUCCACUCUUCAGGUCAAUCUUCGAAAAGACCUUAGCUCCGGAAAACUGAUCCAACAUAUUGUCCAUGCGAGGUAUCGGAAAUCUGUACUUCACCGUAAUCUUGUUGAUUUUUCUGCUGUCAAUACACAUUCGCCAAGUCCCGUCUUUCUUCAGUACUAACAAAGCUGGUACUGCACAUGAGCUCAUACUUUCACAGAUAUAACCCUUCUCCAUUAAUUCCACUACUUGCCUAUGUAGUCCUUGGGACUAAGUUUGUAUGUUGGUCUAUUCGGUAAGCUCGAACCUGGAACAAGAUCUAUCUGGUGUUGAAUGUCCCUCAUCGGGGGUAAUCCAGGAGGUAGCUCUUCGGGCAUCAAAUCAGCAAACUCCGAUAGCAAUUUUUGUACAUCGGCUGGAACUUCUGGAUUCCUAUCCGUCGAAUUGCUCCCGCAAGGGAGUAGAGCAUACAUCACACCUUCACGGUCGGCCUCUGUUAGGAAUCUAGACAUAGAUAAUAGAUUCAGAUUUUCGACUGCUCGAGCCGAAUUAAUUUCUUCCCUUCGAGGUGCCAACACAACCUUCUUCCCUUUUAUACUAAUGGAGUAUAUAUUCUUUCGUCCAUCAUGAAAGACACUUUAGUCAUAUUGCCAAGGUCGUCCCAACAACACAUGUCAUGCAUCUAUUGUCACCACAUCGCACCAAGUGUUAUCGAAGUAUUUCUUUCCGAUUGAAAAGGAUACUAAACAUUUUUUGUUAAUGGUCAUUUCACUACCUUUAUUCAACCAUGAUAAUUUGUACGGUUUGGGAUGCCAAUCUAUCUUCAGAUUUAAUUUUCGAACAACUUCUUCUGACACCACAUUCUCGCAACUUCCACUGUCAAUGAUCAUCUUGCAGACCUUAUCUGCUACGGUACAAGUUGUAUGGAAGAUAUUAGUUCUCAACCAAUCUUCUUCGGAUUCUCCUUUAGGAGUUAGUAAACUCUUGCGAACGACUAGGGUCUCAUGACCAUCUCCACAUAACACAUCUUCAUCUUUGUAUUCGUUAUAUAUAGGUUCUCCAAACUCCUCUGUUUCAUCGGUCACACCUUUUUCGAUCAAAAGGUUCUUACCCUUUUGGUUAGCAGGUUUUCGGCACUUUGUUGCUCUAUGACCCGGCUCCCCACAUCUGAAACACUUAAUAUUAGAAUUGAAAUUACCCUGGGGUGGUUGUGGUGUAGUACAAAGUUGUGGAGGUUGGUUCGUUUUGCUGGGUGGAUUGCUCUUCAAUAUCGGCCUACUGUUUUGCUGUUGCUCUGCCUCACGCGCUCGCUAAUAUGCCUCAGAAACAGUCCACAGUGAAUGGAGACUGAGGGCAUUUUGCAGCUGCUGUUUUAACCCUCCCAAAUAUCUUGCCACCAUUUGUUCCUCUGUUUCCGAUAGAUCAUUUCGUGCUAUCAACUGGUAAAACUCUUCUGUGUAAUCAUCAACAGAUCUAGUGCCUUGUUAUUGAUGCAAUCUCUUAAAUAGAGACUAGGUGUAACCGAAAGGAAGAAAGUGACUGCAUUUUUUUCUUCAUCUUCUCCCACUUUGUGAUUUUUGUUUUCCCGUGAACGCCUCAUCUGUUCCCACCAAGCAGAUGCUCUACCUUUCAAUUUGAUUGCAAUCAGUUUCACUUUAGCGCUAUCUGGAACCUCCUUAUAUUUAAAGAUGCGUUCUACUUCCUUCAUCCAUUCAAUGAAUCCUUCUGCUUGUAGCGUACCAGAAAAUUCCUGUAGUUCCACUUUAAAUCCCAGAUCACUACGAUGGUCAUCACAAUCAUGUCGUUCCUAUAGCUAUCUCCUAUGGUGGUAAGGAUUAUCAAAACUCUAUUCAGAAUCAUAGGAUUCUGCAUCGUGAUCAAGGUGUGGGACUUCCUCCACCGGAACCUAUCCAAGACGACCCAAAUUUUGUGUUGCUGGACGCUGGGUUAGCUCUGCACUUCCUCACCUGGAACCUGCCCAUGGCGACCACGACUACCAGCCAUUGAAACUGAUGAAAUUUAUUCUCAGAAAGAUGUUGAUGCUUUGAUACCAACUGAAGCCGGGCAGAAAAACGAUUAUCCUGCGAACUAGGUAAACAAAUAAAUUCACAAGCAAAGGAACAAGAUGUUCACCAAAAACACAGAGAAAUCUUCCCUAAUGCUUGAAUUUAUAUUUAUCAAAAUUAAAGUUAUCCUCCAACUCAACCCACAAGCCGAGUUUUAUAGCUAACAAAACUUUCUUUCCGAGUAAUAACAUAAUUCCUAAAAAUAUGGAAAUAAAAUCCUAAUAAGUAACAACUUUCUAUUACGUAAUAAUAUAAAAGAUUUAUUUCUUAAAUAAAUGCUACUACCAUAAAAGACGGUAUUUCUGAACUUCAAAAACCGAAGGGGGUGGUCCCGAAGGGGUGGUCAACCAUCUGAAUCCCGAAGCCCUCAUCCGAUUCCCGAAGAUGUUAAUGACCGCCAUGACUGCCACAUUUACGCUGAUCCUCCAACGCAUGGUAUUGUAAUGCCAUUAACGUGUUAUUUGAUAGUUCGGCGUCAUCGGACUCGGAUCCUCCUACAUCAUACACACAUAUACAUACAUAUAUUUAAAUAUAUAUAAUAUAAAUAACUAAAUAUGUGUUGACCCCCGGCACCUGAAUCCUCAUCUUUUUAAGAUUUAGCGAAUCAUCAUAUCCCCAAUGACGAACACGUAUCCCCGCACCCAUAUCCUUACUUCUAAGGUGGUGGAUGAGAAAUUUGGGGUUUACAAAAAAAAAUUCCAAAGAUAAUUUGAUUUAUAAUAAUUUUUUGGUUUAGUGUUUUGCCUGUGCUAUGUGUACAUGGUUUCUAAAAUAUGCCACUACUGAUAGUUUCUUGUCUCUGUUAUACUUUUUUCAUGAAUGCUAUGCUGCUUAUUUCCCUUCAUGCAUGAAGAUUCACGGUUCACAUCAACAGGGAAAUCUAUAAGGACCAUAAAUUUGAUCCAGAAGAGCUAAGAUGGCUACAUUUGUGGAUAUUGCGCUUGCUGCAGCUAUCAAUAUCAUCACUGCACUUAUCUUUCUGUUUGCAUUUGCCAUACUACGGCUUCAACCUUUCAAUGAUAGAGUCUACUUUUCGAAAUGGUAUCUUAAGCGUUUAAGAACCAGCCCAACGCGCUCGGGGGGAUUUGUCAGCAAGUUUGUCAAUUUGGAUGUUAAAUCAUAUGCUAGGUUUCUGAAUUGGAUGCCAGAUGCACUCAAAAUGCCGGAACUUGAGCUGAUUGACCAUGCAGGGUUGGAUUCAGCGGUUUAUUUGCGCAUCUACUUACUCGG
rnacentral:lncRNA from 1 species